GCCGCCCGCCCGCCCGGCUGCAGCUCCCGGCGUGCCCUGCACUCUCUGCUGCCCGCCGCCGACCCCUCCUUCUUCUCGUCCCAGUGCCACCGAGCCGGAGUCCGAGCCACCGCCGCCGCAGCCACUUCAGCCGCGGGCACUAUGGUAAGGUGGGCGCGCCGGCGGGGGAAUGCUGGGCGCGGCGCGGAUCCCCGCGCGGCCGCCAUCUUAACCCUGCCUGGGCCUGUGCGGUGGGCGCUUCGGCGCUGCGGGCCGAGGGCUCGAGGCCCUGCGGCCGCUCCGAGUCCCGAGGCGGGAGGGCCCGGCGCAGGCCCGGCGCGAGAGGGUCGCUCCUUGGGCCAGGGCCCCCGCGUGUUGCUCUGCCCUGCGCGGCUUAAGGUUUUUAACUCGCGCGCUGUAAGGUUGGUACGUGGCCAGCAGCCUCUGGGUGAGGGUCUAGGAGGCCGGCCAUAACGCCGUUCCGAGGAGAUUGAACAGGUAGAAACCUAUUUUAAAACGCUUUUCUCGCCGUAGGGAGCCUUUUCACGGGAUCUGUUAGUUUCAAAGCGGCUGCCAAUGGGCGGUGGGGCGUAAUCGCUGUAGCCGCAGCGGGUUGGAGUUUACACUUGAUUCUCUUUCCUUAUGUGGAAGCAGCCGUGGCUAAGACGGCUUU
rnacentral:lncRNA from 1 species